GAUGAACGCUGGCGGCGUGCCUAAUACAUGCAAGUCGAGCGAACAGACGAGGAGCUUGCUCCUCUGACGUUAGCGGCGGACGGGUGAGUAACACGUGGAUAACCUACUUAUAAGACUGGGAUAACUUCGGGAAACCGGAGCUAAUACCGGAUAAUAUAUUGAACCGCAUGGUUCAAUAGUGAAAGACGGUUUUGCUGUCACUUAUAGAUGGAUCCGCGCCGCAUUAGCUAGUUGGUAAGGUAACGGCUUACCAAGGCAACGAUGCGUAGCCGACCUGAGAGGGUGAUCGGCCACACUGGAACUGAGACACGGUCCAGACUCCUACGGGAGGCAGCAGUAGGGAAUCUUCGGCAAUGGGCGAAAGCCUGACGGAGCAACGCCGCGUGAGUGAUGAAGGUCUUCGGAUCGUAAAGCUCUGUUAUUAGGGAAGAACAGAUGUGUAAGUAACUAUGCACGUCUUGACGGUACCUAAUCAGAAAGCCACGGCUAACUACGUG
rnacentral:rRNA from 1 species